rnacentral:rRNA from 1 species
GAUGAACGCUGGCGGCGUGCCUAAUACAUGCAAGUCGAGCGAACAGACGAGGAGCUUGCUCCUCUGACGUUAGCGGCGGACGGGUGAGUAACACGUGGAUAACCUACCUAUAAGACUGGGAUAACUUCGGGAAACCGGAGCUAAUACCGGAUAAUAUAUUGAACCGCAUGGUUCAAUAGUGAAAGACGGUUUUGCUGUCACUUAUAGAUGGAUCCGCGCCGCAUUAGCUAGUUGGUAAGGUAACGGCUUACCAAGGCAACGAUGCGUAGCCGACCUGAGAGAGUGACCGGACACACUGGAACUGAGACAGGGUACAGACUCCAAAGGGAGGCCGCAGUCGGGUAUCCUCCCCAAUAGGAGCACGCAACGCGGACCAACGACCAGUGAGUGAUGAAGAACUUCGGAUAGUAAAACUCAGUUAUUAACGACGAAUAAAUGUGAAAGUAAAUACGCGUGUCUUGACGGUACAUAAUCAGAAUGACAGGGCUAAGCACGUA